rnacentral:rRNA from 1 species
GACAGAGGGUGCAAACGUUGUUCGGAAUUACUGGGCGUAAAGCGCGUGUAGGCGGCUCUGCAAGUCGGGUGUGAAAUCCCACGGCUCAACCAUGGAAGUGCACUCGAAACUGCAGGGCUAGAGUCCUGGAGAGGAAGGUGGAAUGCUUGGUGUAGAGGUGAAAUUCGUAGAUAUCAAGCGGAACACCGGUGGCGAAGGCGGCCUUCUGGACAGUGACUGACGCUGAGACGCGAAAGCGUGGGGAGCAAACAGGAUUAGAAACCCCAGUAGUCC